rnacentral:rRNA from 1 species
UACGGAGGGUGCGAGCGUUAUCCGGAUUUAUUGGGUUUAAAGGGUGCGUAGGCGGAACUUUAAGUCAGUGGUGAAAUCCUACGGCUCAACCGUAGAACUGCCAUUGAUACUGAAUUUCUUGAAUGCAGUUGAGGUAUGCGGAAUGUGUAAUGUAGCGGUGAAAUGCUUAGAUAUUACACAGAACACCGAUUGCGAAGGCAGCAUGCUAAACUGUGAUUGACGCUGAUGCACGAAAGCGUGGGGAGCAAACAGG